ACAGUUCAGUUUUAGCCGAAAGACAACAAGGACCCUAUUCUUGCUAUCUACACACUUUAUUCUCUACUUCCACUCCGGCGCAACACUCCAUGUUCUGUCAAAAAAAUCCCUGGAAACAGUGAGAAAAGACACCACUUUUACUUUCCCCGCUCCACUGUAUAAACAACCUCAACAACACGCUCGCAGAAGCUGCUGUCGUCUUCUCCUCCUGUUUUCUUUUUCCUCACUCACUUGCUUUCCUUUUCACUCCUCACUUUUUCAAUAAUCACAACUUUGCCACUGUACAUUUCUUCCUUCUUCUCUCUAAUUAGGGAUUUUAAUCACUGUGAUCGCGUGCGAGAUAGAGAGUAGUAGUGUUAUGGUGAUGGCGGAAAAUGAGAGUGGAGAUGAUCAAAAUAGUAGUGCGGUCGGACCGAAGUCGCCGUGGAAGUCUCCGGUGGUCGCUGAUGCUCCGGUGAUGGGCGCCGCCGAGUUUUGGCCUGCUCUUUCUGAUGCUCAACAACAACAGCAACAACAUCGGUCGAAGCUGACUGAUUCUGCUUCUAAGACGCCGCCGCAGCUGCCAUUGAUGGUUGCUGGCGGUGGUGAUAAGGCUGCGCCACCGGCAGCUUCACCUCGGGGAUCAGCUGGGCAGCAUAAAUCACAUGGAUCUGGAUAUACAAAUACAUCAAAUAAACAUGCAUCGUCAAGACAUAAAAAAUCAGGAUCUAAGCGCAAUCCUAAUGGGGCACCUCCUUUCUCCAUGCCAUUCCCUUACCAACAACCAGCCAUGUCACCAGUUUUCCCAGCUAUGGCACCUCCCCCACACUUUUCUGUUUCUGGCUAUCCAUAUCAACCUGGCCCUGCAUCUUUUCCCACAGUUGAAACUCAUUUGAUAAAGUCUGGAUCAGAGACGGGACCCCCUAUGCAACCUUUCGCUCCAUCUAUAAAUGUCCAGCCUCCACCCAGAGGGGAUCCCAAUGCUUAUGCUGUUAACUUUCCAAAUCGAAGACCUAACAUGCAAGACUCUGGUGGCCAUUUGAAUCCAACAUGGCAUCAUCAACGGGCAUUUGGGUCCAGAGAUAACAUCCCGCUGCAACAGGUUAUGGGACCAAGGCCAUUGGUAAGGCCACCUUUUUUGGCCGCACCUCCAGGGUACAUGAUUGGUCCAACAUUCCCUGGACCACCACCUAUAUGCUACGUAUCAGUUGCACCUCCAGGCUCUCUUAGGGGACCUCAACCUUCCUGUUUUGUUCCAUAUCCAAUUAAUUCAGGGGCUUCUGUGCUUCCCCAAGAGACAAUAGCUUUGAGGGCUAGCAUUGCAGGACAAAUAGAGUAUUAUUUCAGCGAUGAAAAUCUCAAGAAUGACCAUUAUCUAAUAUCCUUAAUGGAUGAUCAAGGAUGGGUUCCGGUAUCCACGAUUGCUGAAUUUAAAAGGGUUAAGAAAAUGACUGUGGACAUAUCUUUUAUCCUUGAUGCGCUGAAGUGUUCUGGCUCUAUAGAAGUGAAGGGUGACAAGGUUCGGAAACGAGAUAAUUGGUCAAAGUGGAUUCCAGCAUCUUCUCAGCAGGCAGUGUCACUGAAAGCUCAGGCUUCUGAGGGCCAAGCUGGAGAGAAUGCUGAGGAAGAUGACACAAUCAGUGUCUCCAAAGGAAGUGCUGGAUUUGCCAAAACAUUAAUGCUUGAUGAAGAGCUGGAGCUUGGGCAGAAAACACUCAAGAAUGAUGAAUGUUCUCCAGUUAGAAGAGUCGAAAACAGAGAAGAAGAAGUAAGAGGGAAGAGCUGAGAUUGCUAAAGAUGUGAUGAAAAUUUUGGUGAAUGUGUUGAUCAAGUCCAGGAACUGACAUUAACAACAGAAAGUAGGAACUGUGAGGAAAUUGUCCGCUUGGGAUUGCAGUGGUUCAUUAACGAUGCAUCGGCACACCCAGAAAAGAAGUGUGGAAACCAGGAUUAUAGCAACUGAGAUUAAGAUACCAAACAUCACGUCCAUCUUUGCUGUUCAGUCUUCAAGCUGGAGUUUCUGCUUGCGAAGUAUCAAAAAAAGAAAAAAAAGGAGCUUGUUAGCUAAAUAGAUGGUAGAAAAAAGAGAAAACACUUGACAAAAACAAAGCUGUGUUUCUUUCAUGAAUAAAGAUUUAAGAGUUAAAAGAAGAAGAACUACAAGCUAGAUGAGCUGAGCUGAAAUAUUGGCAGCCAAAAGAGCAGACAAAAUCUACCUUUAACAAUCCUGUAGAUGAUUUAGACUUCAUCAACAAUGUAAAAUGUUUUCAAGAGAGUCCAACCUUCAAAGCUAUAUUUAUACUUAACCAGGUUCAUAGACCGGUAUUAUA